rnacentral:lncRNA from 1 species
CGCGCGCCUUCCUCAGCCGCUGUUAACCCCGGGGUCUAGAGAAGCACUGAGAGGACUCCUCAGCCUGGCGCUGUGCACAAUUAAAAUAGCAGAGUUCCCAUCUCCAAGGAAUUUGCAACCAUAGACAGCACAGUGAAGACAGGUGUUAACUUGAAGGCAGCGCACAAACGGGAGGCAAUUGAAGUUGUCACCUACUGUACAACACAGUGGCCCUUGUAUGAAGAUCCAAGACACAUAUGGAAAUUAAAGAUUUAAUUAUCACUCCUUUGGAGGAUUUGUUGGCCAUCAGCAACUUGGGCUUAACUUGGGUCCAAUUUUAUAAUUUUAGUAAAUUAUAAUAAUAUUUAUGAUAUCUAUAACUAUAUACUAGUGCUUGGUCUUAUUGUUCAGAUAUAGCUAUAGUUUUUCUUGUUUAAUUUUUAUGUGUUUAUUUUUUAUUUUGUUGAAUUAAUUUUGUCUUUCAUCGGUAUUUGUUAGUUCCUCAUUUUUUUGUGUCUUUCUGUGUAUGUAAAUAGGUAAUUCCUCUAAAUAACAUUUCUUUUGUUAUCAACAUUCUGUCAGUGCUAGUUUACUCUUUGUAUUAAUUCCCAACAAAUUUUUCAGUUUAAUACUCAGGGUAAUAUUUUUAACAUAUUAAAAAGAAUUAAGGAGGAAGAGAAAUUGGAAGUAUGUAAAGAUGGGAAAGCUUAAUAGUUGUAGCUAUUUGGGAAGACAGUGAUGUGAAGGAAAUAAUUAUUACCUACUUACAUAAAAUUCAGUAUUCCUUAUAGUUUUAAAGAGCUAGUCUUUUAAGAAACAAUUGCUAUUUUUUAAAAAAAUAAAAAUAUUAUACAUCCCCAAAGAGAAAAUUUCUGAGGUUGUAAAUCACAAUGCUUACAAUUGAGUACUUUGUGACUCCCCUAACUUCCUUCCCCACAAAUAAGCAAUUUUUUUCUACCAUUUAGAUAUUCAAAAUAUGCUUUGCUUCUGGGGAUUGAUGAAACUGCCAUUUAAUUAAAGAAUAGUUUUUAAAGCAAAUUUCAUUUGAUCACUUCCCUUAAGCAUAAUACUUGACUAGUGUGUCCCUCAUGGAACUCUUUUAGUAUUCUCACUGCUUGAAGAAAAUCUUAGCUAUAGUUUGAAGUGA